AUGCACGCUGGCGGCGUGCCUAAUACAUGCAAGUCGAGCGAACAGACGAGGAGCUUGCUCCUCUGACGUUAGCGGCGGACGGGUGAGUAACACGUGGAUAACCUACCUAUAAGACUGGGAUAACUUCGGGAAACCGGAGCUAAUACCGGAUAAUAUAUUGAACCGCAUGGUUCAAUAGUGAAAGACGGUUUUGCUGUCACUUAUAGAUGGAUCCGCGCCGCAUUAGCUAGUUGGUAAGGUAAUGGCUUACCAAGGCAACGAUGCGUAGCCGACCUGAGAGGGUGAUCGGCCACACUGGAACUGAGACACGGUCCAGACUCCUACGGGAGGCAGCAGUAGGGAAUCUUCCGCAAUGGGCGAAAGCCUGACGGAGCAACGCCGCGUGAGUGAUGAAGGUCUUCGGAUCGUAAAACUCUGUUAUUAGGGAAGAACAAAUGUGUAAGUAACUAUGCACGUCUUGACGGUACCUAAUCAGAAAGCCACGGCUAACUACGUG
rnacentral:rRNA from 1 species